rnacentral:rRNA from 1 species
AUACGGAGGAUGCGAGCGUUAUCCGGAUUUAUUGGGUUUAAAGGGUGCGCAGGCGGGAGAUUAAGUCGGCGGUGAAAUUUUUCAGCUCAACUGUAAAAGUGCCUUCGAAACUGGGUUCCUUGAGUGUAGAUGAAGUAGGCGGGAUUUGUGGUUUAGCGGUGAAAUGCAUAGAUAUCACGAGGAACUCCGAUUGCGCAGGCAGCUUACUAAACUACUACUGACGCUCAGGCACGAAGGCGUGGGGAUCAAACAGGAUUAGAUACCCUGGUAGUCCACGCAGUAAACGAUGAUUACUAGCUGUUUGCGAUACAAUGUAAGCGGCUGAGCGAAAGCGUUAAGUAAUCCACCUGGGGAGUACGUUCGCAAGAAUGAAACUUAAAGGAAUUGGCGGGG